CAUCGAUCAGCUGCCUCCUGCACACUCCCUACUGGGGAUUCCCAGGCAGACGCUCUAUCCAUUGAGCCAAACCGGCCAGGGCCAAAUUUUUAUCUUUAAGUACCCCAAUAGAGAAAACUAUCUUCAAGUACCCCAACUAGGAACCUGGGCACCAGUGGUUCAAGCUGGGCCCUAAUCUGUUCCCUCUCUUUCUUUCUUUUUUUUUUUUCAUGUUUUAAUGGUAAGGAUAAACCUAUAGGAUCCAAACAAUGUUUGAACACAAAAGGCAUUCCUUCAAUGUUUUUGAUGGAUUCUUAGGGAAAUAUAAAUUGAAUGGUUGAUGCCUGGUUACUAUAAGAGAAGUGAAAUAAAUGUGACCUAAAGGUCUCCUGUAAGCAGUGCCUGGCACAAAAUAGGCUCCUAGUAACAAAAUGGUCACGUUAUCAUAAAAAUGAGGAAUACUUGAGAUCUUAUAUAAAGCCCUCAAUAUUGUGCCUGCCCCUUAAAAGACACUCCAUGCCAAGCUGGCUGCUUAUAUCAGCCUUAUUACACAGUAAGACAUUUAUUAGGGCAGCCCUGCGAGCUGAGGACUUGCAAGCAAUUAGGUUGGCAUUAGAUUUGGGGUGUGAGCGCCCAGACUUCAUAAAACAGAAAACACUGUCCCAAGCCAGUGCUGUGCAGGCAUUAGUCACCAGAUGUCUCAUUGCCAUGACGAGGCAGAAUUAGUCUUAGAGGAUGUUUGCGGUCUUGUGACUAAGAGGCCGAAAGAAUUUCUGAAGCUUUCGGUACAGCAGCAGUGCCUGACUGAGGUGCUCCCAUUGGCGGUUUGCUGCCAUCCGAGGCACAGAAAGAUCCAGGGACAAGCCAGCCAGAGGGACCUGGAAGAGGACCGUCACGUUGUGGAAACAAGAUUCCUGAGACGACUGGGCAACGCUACAGGGACCCUCCCCGGCAUCCAGCUGCAGGAAACGGCUCCUGUUUUCAAAUCCGCUGGCUCCUUUGCCUCUUAGUUUUAAGUUACUGCAACUCUCUGACCUUCUCAGGGUCAUUCAUGUUACACACUGGUCCAGUCCUGUAUUUAAUUGGAACGCACUGAGGAAAGGCAGUGUUGGCAAGAACGCUGACUUCGCUGAGAAGGUGAGCAGUUUGAGUCCUGGCCCUGACACUUAACCUUGGCCAGACUUCUGCCUUUGGUCAGGCCCUACCUUCCCUACCUCACAAGGUGGUUGUGAGAGCUUGCACGCACGCACGCACGCACGCACGCGAGCACUUUGUUGUUAAACCAUAAAGUGUAAUAUCCCUA